rnacentral:tRNA from 1 species
GCGGGUGUAGCUCAAUGGUAGAGCGCUUGCUUCCCAAUCAAGAUACGCGGGUUCGAUUCCCGUCACCCGCU